rnacentral:sRNA from 3 species
GAUACCUAAAACAAUGAAAGCCCUACCUCUCUUCCAUCCUUACGGCUCCUUGUCCGUGCCAGUGUGAAUCAGAUACUAAAAACAAGU